ACCACCCGCAUAUAUGCAUAUUGACGCUUAUUCGUGCCGGCUGGGCAUUCAAGGCGAGCUCCGGCAGUGGCUGACUUGAAACCUGUCUUUGGAGACGCCCUGCCAGCUUAGCCACCGACGAGGCUGCCCCCGAGAAUCGUCGCAUUCGUCACCAGCGGAAGCUUCUUGGCCGGUGAAAUGCUGCACCAGCGGAGGCACCGGCGCGACGGCGAGGGGAGGCCGGGAGGGGAGUGCACGGCGCGAGUGCAGAAGCGGAGGCACGGGAAGCGAACUUCAGCGGCCGCGCACGGACGACGGCUCCGGUGGCGGCUUCUGAUCUCCCGGAUGAGGCUGGGUCUCGGGCAACCCGCAGUCAGAACGGAAGAAGCACACUAAAUGCUCGACGAAAUGGCUGCCCGGCGCAGGAGCCUGGAGGCACAAGAGGAUUGCUUGAUAAGUCCACGGUGGAACUUAUGCUAGCAGCAAUAGCUGCUGUGCAGCUGUUGCAUGCUGCCCAUGGAGCCUUCACCAUGACAGAUGUUAUGCAUAUGCAAAAUGGCAAGUAAACAUGAAUUUUACAGUAGAGGCUCCUUUUCGUAAAUGGGGAUAUAGUUUCUUGUUUCCAGUAUUCUAACCCUUCGGAACAGAGGCGUUUGAAGGGAUUGAGAGACUUCAUCUGCUAAUGUGGAAUCCAAAGAGUCUAAUACAGCUUCAAGGUGGCUUCUAGUGAAUAUAAUGGCUUCAUCCAGUACUUUCUCGCCAUGAGUCCUCAGUGUAAUGCCAGCGUUACCUGAGGUGCAGUUGGCGGCUGGUAAGUCAGGAAGAAAUCACCCCACAGGCUCGGGUGAAAGGUAGGAGCCUUUGUCAGCCCUUCAUCACUGUUGGAAUGAAGUGCAGACAUCUUUUCGGUAUUUAUAGAGGCAUGCAUGAGUGUGAUUGGUGGUCCGUUGAGUGUUCUGCCUUUGACAGGGUGUCGUGUCUGGUAAGCAUUUUGAUGAUUAUGCUUUAAAGUGACCCUGGAAUGUUUCGACCUCAUCUACAAAUUCCAAUGUCUAUGUGUUAUGAAUUUUGUUGGCCCGAAAAUUCCUAGACCAGGCCAUUUUAAUUCGGUGCCAGGAAAAGCUGGGCAAAGAAAUCUAUUGUGAUAGGUGUGCCAAUGCUAUUGCUGAAAUGUGGCAAGAACAAUUUACGCCUAUUUGCGACAAUAUGACCUCAGAGCGUAUGCCUGUAAAAGAAUGAGUUGGUUAAUUGUAAUCUAAUUUUCAAUUGUCCAACGCUUGCACUCUUUGCAAA